CAAGCUAAGGAUUGGCUGGAGCGUGCUC
rnacentral:sRNA from 1 species